rnacentral:lncRNA from 1 species
AAAAUGAGAAACAAAUGGUUUUUGGUUCAGAGUCAAUGUUACUAUCAUUUUCGUUGUGUUUGUUCAUUUUCCUUCUUUUCCUCUAUUUUUUUAUUGCUCUGGUUUCUCUUUGCUAUUCUUGUUUUUCAACCGAGUGCCCUUCUUUGGCCAUUGCUUAUUUUGAACCCUCGAGUUUAUUUUCUUUUCUCUUUUUUUUUUCUCUCGAUGAUUCUCUUUUUUUUUCGCACUCACCUUGGCUUUUGAAAUUUAUGGGGUUUUACCCCAAAAUUAGAAUUUCAACACAACUUAAUAAUAUUAAAUUGACUCUGAACAGGGUAAGGA